GGAGCUAUAGCCCAGUGGUAGAGCAUCUGCUUUGCAUGCUCAAGGUCCCGGGUUCAAUCCCAGCCAUCUUCA